rfam:Triticum aestivum genome assembly, contig: Triticum_aestivum_CS42_TGACv1_scaffold_514856_6BS
UUUGUAUUUCCUCCGUCCCAAAAUUCUUGUCUUACAGUUAUGUAAAUACGGAUGUAUCUAGUUACAUUUUAGUGUUAGAUACAUUCAUAUCUUGAUAAAUGUAAGACAAGAAUUUUGGAACGGAGGAAGCAUGUU